UCCGAGUUAGACCCGGCAGUCUCCGGUGACACAAGUAACACCGGACAAGGGUUGCGCUCGUUGCGGGACUUAACCCAACAUCUCACGACACGAGCUGACGACAGCCAUGCAGCACCGGUGCAGCACCCUCGAAGGCGGCCGGAUUUCUCCGGCCUGCAGCUGCAUGUCCAACCUGGGUAAGGUUCUGCGCGUUGCGUCGAAUUAAACCACACGCUCCGCUGCUUGUGCGGGCCCCCGUCAAUUUCUUUGAGUUUUAGCCUUGCGGCCGUACUCCCCAGGCGGAGUGCCUAACGCGUUAGCUUCGGCACCACGAGGGUCAAAGCCCGUGACACCUAGCACUCAUCGUUUACGGCGUGGACUAC
rnacentral:misc_RNA from 1 species